rnacentral:rRNA from 1 species
GACGAACGCUGGCGGCGUGCCUAAUACAUGCAAGUCGAGCGAAGUUUUUCUGUUGCUUGCACCGGAAAAACUUAGCGGCGAACGGAUGAGUAAGACGUAAAGAACCUGCCGCAUAGACUGGGACCACUAUUGGAAACGAUAGCUAAUACCGGAUAGCAGCAUUAACUGCAUGGUUGAUGUUUAAAAGUUGGUUUUGCUAACACUAUGAGAUGGCUUUGCGGUGCAUUAGCUAGUUGGUGGGGUAAAGGCCUACCAAGGCGACGAUGCAUAGCCGACCUGAGAGGGUGAUCGGCCACACUGGGACUGAGACACGGCCCAGACUCCUACGGGAGGCAGCAGUAGGGAAUCUUGCGCAAUGGGCGAAAGCCUGACGGAGCAACGCCGCGUGAGUGAUGAAGGACUUCGGUUCGUAAAGCUCUGUUGGUAGGGAAGAAAGAUUGUGUAGUAACACUACACAGUAGAGACGGUACCUACAGAGAAAGCAACGGCUAACUACGUG